rnacentral:lncRNA from 10 species
GCUCACUCGAGGAGCUCGGUUUUUUGGAGACGUGAGUUCGCCUAUGCUCCCAGCUGAAUAAAGCCCUUUCCUUCCACAACUUGGUGUCUGAGGGGUUCUUGUCUGCGGCUCGUCCUGCUACAAGAGAAUCUAAAAAUCGAUAGAAAUAUUACCCCACUCCCUUUCUACAGGUGCAGAAAUUGAGGCUUAUAGAUGAGCACAGGACCUUAGCCCAUGAACUUGACCUUCACAAUCAUCUCCUCACUUUACCAUCAUGCCAGUUACCUCAAAGGAGCCCAAAGAGGAAGUGGAAAUAGGUUUCCAAGUGCUGUGAUAGGUUUUUUUUUCUUUUUUUUUAUAAAUGAAACUAAUAUACUUUUAAAGUUUUCAUGAUAAGAGAAGUUAAUUCCAGUUGAACUUAUAAACACUCUAAAUAAAGAAUAAAGAAUACACUAAAG